rnacentral:tRNA from 1 species
GCGCCACUAGCUCAGCUGGAUAGAGCGUUGGCCUCCGGAGCCAAAGGUCAGAGGUUCGAAUCCUCUGUGGCGUG